rnacentral:rRNA from 1 species
CCUGAAAAUUUAAAGUUUUGGCAGUAUUUUAAUCUAUUUAGAGGAACCUGUUUUUUAAUUGAUAAUCCACAAUUGAUAAUACUUUAAUUUUAAACUUAUAUAUCGUCGUUUAAAAAAUUUUCUAUGAAAUUUUUUCAGAUCAAGAUAUAGUUUAUAUUAAAGAUUUAAUGGGUUACAUCAAAAAAAAUGUUGAAAAUGGAUUUAAAAGUAAGUUCUAAGAUAUGUACAUAUUGCCCGUCGCUUUUUCUUUAAAGAAAAAUAAGUCGUAACAAAGUAGAUUUACUGGAAAGUGAAUCUAGAUUCAAAUUAAAGCUUAUAAAGUAUUUUAUUUACAUUAAAAAGAUAAUUGAAAAACUCAAUUUGAUUUGAAGUUUAACUCUUUUUUUUUUUAUUAUUUUAUUUUAUUGAAAAAAGUAAAUUAUUUUAUUUUAUAAAUGAAAAAACUAUAAUAAAGAGUACAGAAUUGGAAAUAAUUAUAUAUUUAAAAGAAAUUUUUUUAUUGUACCUUUUGUAUCAGGGUUAAUUCAUUAAUUUUUCCCGAAUUUAAAUGAAUUAAUUUUAAUGUUAAAUAAUUAUUUAAAAUUUUUUAUUGGAAAUUAAAUGUUUUCGAAUUUAAAUAUAUCUGGUUUUUAAAGAAUUUAAUUUAAUUAAUUUAUAGUUUGAUUUAAUUGCACGGGAUAAGCUGUUGAAUUAAUAAUUAAAAAUAUAUUAUCUUAUAAAAAAUUUAAAAUUAAAAUUUUUUAUUUUUUAUUAUAUUUUAUAAUUAAUAUUUUAAUAUUAUAUUUAAAUAUUUAUUUUAACUUAAUUUAUAAAAAGAUAAUGAUUAGAUUAGUAAUAUUAAAUAAAGGAACUAGGCAAUUUAAGUUUUCAACUGUUUAUUAAAAACAUUUCUUUUUGUUAUUAUUUAAAGUCAAACCUGCCCACUGAUUUAAUGGCCGCAGUAUAUUAACUGUGCAAAGGUAGCAUAAUCAUUAGUUUAUUAAUUGUAAGCUUGUAUGAAAGGUUAAAUGAAAGACUUUCUGUCUCUUGAACUUUAUUUUUAAGUCAAAAAGCUUAAAUAAUAUGAAAAGACGAGAAGACCCUAUAGAGUUUUUUUGUUGGGGUGACAAAAAAACUAAAUAAACUUUAUUAAUUGAAUUUAUGAUCCAUGAUUAAAAGAUUAAAUUACCUUAGGUCGCAGCGUAAUUUUUCUUGAGAGUUCUAAUCA